AUGAUGGCGAGGCGAGAGCGAGAUGUGGAUUUUUUCUUCAAGUACUUGGAAGACGAGCAUGGCCAUCUGAAGGGACUGUUCUGGGCUGAUAGUCAAUCGCGACUUGACUACGAGGCUUUCGGAGACGUCAUUGUUUUCGAUAGCACAUACAGAACCAACAAAUACAAUCUGCCAUUCAUGCCGUUUGUGGGGUUGAAUCACCAUCGCAGCACUGUUAUUUUUGGCUGUGGUAUAAUUUCUCAUGAAACAAGCCAGGCAUACGAGUGGAUGUUGCGGACCUUUUCUGAUUGCAUGGCACAGAAGCAUCCGAUAUCUGUGAUCACAGAUGGGGACCUUGCAAUGCAAAGAGCAAUCAGGGUGGUCUGGCCAGACUCAAACCAUAGACUAUGUAUAUGGCACAUUCAGCAGAACAUUGUAUGCCAUCUGCAUGAUGAUGACGUAAAGGAGGAAUUCAGAUCUUUCAUUUAUGAUACUUCUUUCAUUGAAGAGCAUGAGAUAAAAUGGAUACAAUUCUUACAACGAAUAAAGUAA
rnacentral:rRNA from 1 species